rnacentral:rRNA from 1 species
AACGAACGCUGGCGGCAGGCUUAACACAUGCAAGUCGAACGGCUGUAGCAAUACAGCAGUGGCAGACGGGUGAGUAACACGUGGGAACCUUCCUAGGGGUACGGAACAACUCAGGGAAACUUGAGCUAAUACCGUAUACGUCCGUAAGGAGAAAGAUUCAUCGCCCCUAGACGGGCCCGCGUCGGAUUAGGUAGUUGGUGGGGUAACGGCCUACCAAGCCUACGAUCCGUAGCUGAUCUGAGAGGAUGAUCAGCCACACUGGGACUGAGACACGGCCCAGACUCUACGGAGGCAGCAGUGGGGAAUCUUGGACAAUGGGCGCAAGCCUGAUCCAGCCAUGCCGCGUGAGUGAAGAAGGCCUUAGGGUUGUAAAGCUCUUUUACCAGGGACGAUAAUGACGGUACCUGGAGAAUAAGCCCCGGCAAACUUCGU